rnacentral:rRNA from 1 species
UACGUAGGUGGCAAGCGUUUGUCCGGAUUUACUGGGCGUAAAGAGCGCGCAGGCGGUCGUUCAAGUCGCGUGUGAAAGCCCCCGGCUCAACUGGGGAGGGUCACGCGAUACUGAUCGACUCGAAGGCAGGAGAGGGUAGUGGAAUUCCCGGUGUAGUGGUGAAAUGCGUAGAUAUUGGGAGGAACACCAGUGGCGAAGGCGACUUCCUGGCCUGUUCUUGACGCUGAGGCGCGAAAGCUAGGGGAGCAAACGGG